GGCAGGCCCACGGCGAAGGCCGCCAGGGCUGGAACCAGUCCCCUCGUGGCGUCUCAUCCUAGUGAGCUGAGAGUCCAGGCCCCUGCAGACGAGCAUGGAGCCCGCAGGGAGGAGACGGCCUGCCUCUCUCCACUCGCACCCCAGGGCCCUCUCAGGCGCCCAGGGCUCCGGCCGUCCAGAAGGAGAGUGGCCUGAAUGUGAAAUAAGAAAAGGCGUUCUGGCCCUCCGGCAGCACGACACACCGGUGAACCUUCCAACCAGUGAAGGACAUUUUCAAAACAGAAUUUGUCAGUAGUCCCGUUGCUCUUGAGUUUUCCGUUUUGUCGACGUCGCGUCUCAGAUGUCCUCCACGUCCGUAUUCCUCGAACACCUGCUUCAGAGGCGAG
ensembl:lncRNA